rnacentral:lncRNA from 1 species
GGGGGGGGCCAGGAAGAUCGGGAGAGGGGGAGGUGCGCAGAGCCGCCCGCCGCUCCUCACCCGGGCCGGGAGAAGUCGCCCCCCGCACCCCCCCACGAGUCCGUCCUCUCCAUUCAAGUUCGCCGGGCCUUGCCGCCGGGAUCGGGGAUGGCCCCCAGCUGCCCGCCCAGCUCUGCGUCCUGUUUCCAGCCACCGCGCAGAAAUUUAGGUCAAGGACGUCGGGAGCAAACCCACACCCUGGAGCUCUUCGGGAGGCCCCCGAGACCCCCCCACCCCAGGAUCGGGAUGGAGGGGGGGCUUCAGGAUGGCGGAGAACCCCCAGCACAAACAUCAGCCACAAGUUUUAUUUUGCCUUCGCGCUGCAAGUUCGGCGCUCGCUCCACACCGGCACGUCCUGCGCGGCUCCCCGCCCUUCCCCGCAGAGGAUAGGUGGCCAGAGCACCCCUGAAGAGCGCGACUGUAGUGUCAGCCAGUGCCUCUUUUGGUUCUUUGGAGACCAAGCCCCACAGCAGUUUUGUGUGAAAUUCCCACCUUGGAGGGCCAUGGGCCCCAGCGCCCCCGUCUGGUGAAGAGAGGGAACACUUUGUUACGUUGUGGCUCCCUCUGCUGGCAGAGCAAGCGAGACUGAGUCGGCUGACAGGGCCCUGUUGCAGAGUCCCAGGCCAAAAGCUCACAGGUGGAGAGGUUUCCUGGCCUGGACACCAAGAUCCACCACAGUAGCCCACGCUGCAGUUUCUGUGAUAACCAAUCAGCUAAUUCCAAGUGGCUGAAAAGACUAAAGAAGAGGAGAGGAAGAAAUCGCUGUACUCUCUGAGGAGGGAAUUCAAAUAGGACAAAAUCAAAUCUAUUUAGCCAAACAUAGUGUGGACACACAUAGAGGAAUGGAGGGGGAAAGGAAAAGAAGUAUUAGAUGUGAAGGCAAUAAAGGAUGGAGUGCAGCACAAAUUGCCGAACAAGACAUUCGUGCUAAAAAUAAUGUUGCUUGCAGA